ACUGUUAUACUUGGAGGCCAUGUCACCUGAGAGUCAAUGGGCAACGAUCAAAUUUCACCUUGAGCAGAUUCUUUUGUUUGCUUUUUAGUCACAAAUAGCUUGGCCCUAAGUGGUGGCUCCCAUUCUUGUAAGAUGCGUUUAUUCAUCGUGUAAUCACCAGUUCCCUGUAGUGGGGGCGUGGAUGGAGUGUCAGAGGCUCCUGCUGGUCUUUAGGGUGUCUGGCCUCCAGGAAUCCUAGAGUAAAUUGGGAACUACAGCACUCGAUGUUAGAGUUGUCGUGAAGAUUAAAGAAGGUGACGACUGGACAACUCCCAGCCCAAUACCUGAAACUGUACCAGCACCCAGUGAGCACUGCUAUUCCUGUGACUGCUGCACAUUUGCCUUAUCUCAGCAGUAUGCCUGUGUCACUUUUUUGGCACUCUUUUCUCAUGGGUACAUUCAGAGAAGAGGAAUGUUUGUUCACUGGUGAAGAGAACAUCCCGUGUACUAUCGUGUAGAAGUUGUAGUAGACGCUGUGGUCUUUCCAACAACAAACAAACCUCGUGCCAGCAACUUAAAUCUAUCAGCAAUGGAGAAUGCCUGGCAUUGGCUUCUGCAUGAGUGCCGUUUUAGUUGCUUUGUAUUCUUCUACCUUGAUUUUUUUUUCUGUUUUUCUACAUGAGUGUUGCCUGCAGAGUUCCCUGAUUGACUCAAAGUACAUCUUCUAUAUUGCUUCAAGUAGUGCUGGUCAUGAACACAAUUCAGUCUUAGUCAGCUAUUGGAACUGAUUGACUGCAAAGUUCUGGUGCCUCUUCUCGCAGCCCAGGGCAGAUGGACGUGCUAUGUGGGGCCCGUACAAAACAGAAUCAUGGAGCUGGUGGGGCAAGGAGUCAACCUCCCUCCUAGGGCCUGCAGCCUCCACCAGGGCAGAGAGCAAGUUUCUCUCAGCUUCUGCUCUCAGGUGGUGACCUGGCAGGGAGGACAGCUUGGCAGUAGGUGCAGGCACUGGACGGGGACCUCCUGGCUCCUCUCCUAGCUCUUGCAGCACCAGCCAUAAGGCACUCAGAUCAUGCAACUUCCCGGUGUCUCCGUCUCUGCAUCUUUAAAAUGGGGCUAAUAAGAACACUUUUCUCAUAGACUUAUAAAGAGAAUUAAUUAAAAAAAAUAAUGCUUGGCUCAGAAUGUACACUCCAUGAACAUCACCUGUUACCACUUAAGAAGGGUGCGUACCCUCCAGCCGCAUCCAUGCCAGUUCCCGUUGUCUCACCCUGGGCCAGCGACACCCAUCUUAAGUCACAAUUGAGAAUACAAGCAAGACACGCUGAAAUCUACCAGAAUAAAGGUCCAUCUUCACAGAACAA
ensembl:lncRNA LINC02669 long intergenic non-protein coding RNA 2669